AGAGACCCCCAGCAAAGAGACAGCGACAGCGUUCACUGAAGCCCCUUACUUCAUGGCCUCUGGUCAGUCCCCUGCCUCCUCUUCCUCCUCAGCCCCGGCAGCUACAUCCCAGCUUGUGGGCGCCAAGGGCUUCGCCCAGUUGCACGGCAAGCCUGUCAUCAGCAUCACCUCACAGCCCUUGGGGCCACGGAUCAUUGCUCCCCCGUCCUUUGAUGGCACCACCAUGAGCUUCGUGGUGGAACACAGAUGACAAGAGGCUCAGGAAAGCAGAACGGAAGGAACAGCUCCUGGAGCAAGACAGAAAUGAGAACUGUUCUUUAAUCCGAAAGUUUCAUUGUAACACUGAAUUCAUCGGGGGAAAACCCUUCCAGUUGUGUUACAAACUUUUAUUUCUUAUGAACCACGUGUGUAAGUUUGUAUAUUUUCCUGAACAACUCCCUAAGGUAGCUUUUGUUAUUUCAGUUUUACUAAGAUGAAUGGUUAUGUUUCUCCCCAUGAAGUAUUUCUUUUUAUACUUUAAUACGGGACAUAAGCUUUCUGGCCACCACCUUCCCUCCUGCACUUGUGACCAGGCACAUAGUAC
rnacentral:lncRNA from 1 species